AGUCGAGCGGCAGCGCGGGGCAACCUGGCGGCGAGCGGCGAACGGGUGAGUAAUGCAUCGGAACAUGUCCUGUCGUGGGGGAUAGCCCGGCGAAAGCCGGAUUAAUACCGCAUACGUCCGAGAGGAGAAAGUGGGGGACCCGCAAGGGCCUCACGCGAUUGGAUUGGCCGAUGUCCGAUUAGCUAGUCGGUGGGGUAAAGGCCUACCAAGGCGAUGAUCGGUAGCUGGUCUGAGAGGACGAUCAGCCACACUGGGACUGAGACACGGCCCAGACUCCUACGGGAGGCAGCAGUGGGGAAUUUUGGACAAUGGGGGCAACCCUGAUCCAGCCAUUCCGCGUGAGUGAAGAAGGCCUUCGGGUUGUAAAGCUCUUUUGUCCGGAGCGAAAAGGCGAGCGUGAAUAUCGCUCGCUACUGACGGUACCGGAAGAAUAAGCACCGGCUAACUACGUGCCAGCAGCCGCGGUAAUACGUAGGGUGCGAGCGUUAAUCGGAAUUACUGGGCGUAAAGCGUGCGCAGGCGGUUUUGUAAGCCAGAUGUGAAAUCCCCGGCUCAACCUGGGAAUGGCAUUUGGGACUGCAAGGCUCGAGUGCGGCAGAAGAGACUGGAAUUCCUGGUGUAGCAGUGAAAUGCGUAGAUAUCAAGAGGAAUACCCGAUGGCGAAAGGCAGGUCUCUGGGCUGACACUUGACCUCAUGCACCAAAAG
rnacentral:rRNA from 1 species